UCUAGAACUUGAGAUAUGGGCUAAACACUAAACAGUGUCUGGGCUGCAGAACAGAUUCUGACUUCUCUGUUGUUGCUACAAUAUGAAUUUGAAAACGGUCCUUUUGAAUCUUGGACUCUUCAUGAAAGUUUUAGGCCUAUGUCUUAGCUUUCUAUC
rfam:Populus trichocarpa scaffold_161_contig_2, whole genome shotgun sequence.